ACAAUAUGCUGUUUCAAAGUGCUCUAUAAAUACAGUUGAGUUGAGUAAAUAACACUGAGUGAGUAAAAAUGGAGCCCUCAGGAAUAAUGAAUCCGCCUUAAAAUGUAAACAGUUUUAAAGUUAAUGCGAUUGAUCCCUGCAUUCGUCAUGUGGCUGCCGGCUAGUUCGUAGCGGUUAAACAAGGUAGACUAUGCAAGCUCUGCUUGUAUUUUCAUACUUUCCACUUGGGUUCAACUUGUUUAAAUGAUUCAAAAGAUUUGUUUUAUUGCCUUGUUUUUGACAACACACUGCACAACAGCUUUCUCUUCCAUAUCGCUCUGUAGAUCCCGCCACAACAGUGAUGGGGAGGACUUCUCGUCUAAAAAAGCUUCAUCUUCGGAACUCGUGGCGAGUCAUCAGCGGCACGUUUAUAUCAGAGACUGCAAACAACCCCGGAACAUGCUGGUGGACACUGGCAGUAAGGGAUGCCAUCAAACUGAAGAAGGAGUCCUAUCAGGCCUUUAUGGCCUGUGGGACUCCAGAGGCAGCUGAUGGCCAAGUGGGAAAGCAGCUUCAGCGGUUGCCGAGGGAAAAACCCGGGCAUGGGAAGAAAUCGGUGAGGCCUAGGAAGCUGACUUCCGGACGGCUUCAAGGAAAUUCUGGUCCACCAUCCGACGUCUCAAGAGGGGGAAGCAGUGCACCAUUAACACUGUGUACAGUGGGGAUGGGGGGGCGCUGCUGACCUCGACUCUGGACAUUGUGAGUCGGUGAGCAAACUUCGAAGACCUCCUCAAAUCCAUCAACACACCUUCCUUAGAAUCUGAGGACUCUGAAGUGCACUCUCCUACCUCUGAGGUUGAAGUAACUGAUGUGGUUAAAAGGAUCCUCGGUGGCAAAGCCUCAGGGUGGAUGAGAUCCGCCUGAGUUCCUCAAGGCUAUGGAUGUUGUGGGGCUGUCCUGGUUGACACACCUCUGCGACAUUGCAUGGUCACCAUGGAAAGUGCCGCUGGAUUGGCAGACAGGGGGCACCUCUUUUCA